UUUCCGUAGGUGAACCAGCGGAAGGAUCAUUAAAGAAUGUCCCGUAUUUCGAAAUGGGUCCUUUUCCCAAACCGUUACCACAUACCCUUGUUGCUGUGACGGGCCGCCUUCCGGCGUUGUCCUCAGCUCAUUCUGCCCGCCAGAGGACCCAAACUCGUUUUGUUUCGUGAUGUCUUAGUCCUAUAAAAUAGUUAAAUCUUUCAACAACGGAUCUCUUGGUUCUG
rnacentral:misc_RNA from 1 species